GAAAGAAUUGUUGAAAAGAGUUUUCUCACACAUGAAAAGGCAACGAAGCUCACAACAUUGAUUACAUUUCAUGAUUUUUUGGACCUAGGUAUUGAAAUACCUGAAAAGAAGCUGUUUGUAAAUACGUAUGAUCCUUUUUUCCUACUAACAGACAAAUCAGUGAUAUAAACCCUUGAUAAAAAUAAAAUUUUAAUUUUAAAUCAGAUUAGUGAGAUGCUAGCCCCAACCCUAGAAAAAAAUAUGUCUUUAAGAAAAAUAUGUCUUUAAGAAAAAGGUAGUUGCUUUUUAAAUUUAAUCAUUUAGAGAAAUACAUGAAAAUCCUCAAAUCUUCUAGUCCUCUCUCAAUCCCAAAUGUGGCAGUGUAACAUCUUGAUCCACUGCUCUCUGUACUCUUCCAGGUCACCAAUUAAAAAAAAAAAGAUGCUCCAAAUAGCACAAAGAUGUACCUAU